rnacentral:rRNA from 1 species
UACAGAGGUCCCAAGCGUUAAUCGGAAUUACUGGGCGUAAAGCGUGCGCAGGCGGUUUUGUAAGUCUGUCGUGAAAUCCCCGGGCUCAACCUGGGAAUGGCGAUGGAGACUGCAAGGCUAGAGUUUGGCAGAGGGGGGUAGAAUUCCACGUGUAGCAGUGAAAUGCGUAGAUAUGUGGAGGAACACCGAUGGCGAAGGCAGCCCCCUGGGUCAAAACUGACGCUCAUGCACGAAAGCGUGGGGAGCAAACAGG